CUGCUAUUGUUAGACGUUAUAGUAAGAAUGGCAGAAUUUUCUUUGAUGAUUACGUUGCUUGCUGUGUGAAGCUUCGAGCAUUGACAGAUUUCUUUAGGAGAAGAGACCACUUGCAACAAGGGUGUGUGAACUUAAUUUAUGAUGACUUUUUGCAGGGGACCAUGGUAAUUUGAAUGCCUUGUAUUUGAAAGCAGAAGAAAUACUGUGAAUUUGUUUGCUUGGAAGAAGUGAACUG